UUUUUUUUUUUUUGCAGUUUGGCCUAUACAAGUCCAAUCAUGUGGGAAAUUACCAAUACUCCAUUUUACUCCUUCUACGUGUUGUGUUCACAGCAGUUUGCUGUGUUUUUUUCCACCUCCUGGGUCUGCCACUCCUCCUGUCUGUCUCACUUCACACCUGGACCUAUUCUGCAAUCAUGCUCACCUGGUCUUCAUCUCCAAUCAACUCCCCUUCAUAAACCCUUGGAUUCCCUGCUGUCGGUGCCAGAUCGUACUACGCACUACUGUGUUAUCCGGAUCCCUCACUCCAGUUCGCCUGCUUCGCUCCUUCCCCGGCAACCUCAUCCAAUACCCGCCUCCUCGCCUCGUUCAAUAAACCCUUUUUCCUUCAACUCAA